CCCCUCGCCGUGUCGGGGUAAUGACACGGCAUCCUCCCUGUUGGACUGACCCGGCUUCGCGCCGGGUCUUUUUU
rnacentral:ncRNA from 1 species